rnacentral:rRNA from 1 species
CUACGGGUUGCUCCAGUGAGGAAUUUUGCGCAAUGGGGGAAACCCUGACGCAGCAACGCCGCGUGAGUGAUGAAGGCUUUCGGGUCGUAAAGCUCUGUCAAGUGGGAAGAACCUAUAUAAUGCCAAUACCAUUAUAUACUGACGGUACCACUGAAGGAAGCACCGGCUAACUCCGUCGCCAGCAGCCGCGGUAAUACGGGGGGUGCAAGCGUUAUUCGGAAUCAUUGGGCGUAAAGAGCACGUAGGCGGCCUGGUAAGUCAGAUGUGAAAGCCCGGGGCUUAACCCCGGAAGUGCAUUUGAUACUGUCAGGCUUGAGUAUGGGAGAGGGAAGUGGAAUUCCUGGUGUAGAGGUGAGAUUCGUAGAUAUCAGGAGGAACACCGGUGGCGAAGGCGACUUCCUGGACCAAUACUGACGCUGAGGUGCGAAGGCGUGGGUAGCAAACAGGAUUAGAUACCCCAGUAGUC